ACCACUUUCUUUCUUGUAGAGAAGCGGGUAGAGAGAAUCACUUUGUGUCUUUACCCUCAACUUGACCAUGGCUUUAGGCAAACAGACUGUCUUGGCUUUCUAUGACCAACUUUUAAAUAGGAGCAGAUUAGGUCAUUAUUCUUAGGUCAUCAUUCUGCAGUCACACUGGCUUUGUAGUCUUAGCUGCUGGAACAUUCAAGGAGACAAAAAGGUACACAUGACCUCCACACAUAUUUUGAUGCCAACUACAACAAGUUGCAAGACCAUUUUUCUGCUGAGACUCCUUUAUUCUGGGUCUUGCUCUGUUGCCCAGGCUGGAGUGCAGUGGUGCCAUCUUGGCUCACUGCAGCCUCAACCUUCCAGGCUCAAGUGAUCCUCCCAACACAGCCUCCCAAGUAGCUGGAACUACAGGUGUCCCCAGACAAAAGACAGAAACCUGGAAUCCUCUUUCUAAAGAGGACAAUCAAGCUGAGAAGAAACUGGGCAUCUCCAAGAUUUCUUCUAACUUAGUCCCACUGGUCCUCUGAGGACCUGUAUGGCAGACCUGAAUUUUCCUGGGUAUGGCGAGAAAGCCAGGGGAGGGCAGAUCUUACCAGUCGGCUGGAUUAGUGUCCAGUGUUGGAUGUUCCAGUUGGAAUUGACAAAGGGCCUCUUGGACUAGAGCUACAGGAGGAAGAGACAGAGAGACAGAGAGAGAGAGAGACAUAGUGAGAGAGAGAGAGAGAGAGAGAGAGGAUAUGAGGGAGGGGGAGAGGAGAUAGCAAAAUAACCAUUGCGGGCAGUCAGAGGUGGAUUCCUGAGACUUGAGGAUUUUGAGGGCUCACUGGAGAGUAGCCCCAGCCUGAGCCUUGCAGCCCCCUUCAGGUUAGUCGUGCUCCUCAGGCAAAUUGCUCAAAAAGUGAAGUGAGAGGCAAGAUGGGGUGGGUUCCCAGAGACUCUCAGGAUCCAGCAGGACAAUCAGCUGCUGUCCACUGCUUCCCUGAUUGCAAGAGAUCUUCUACCCCUAAAAUCUGUCCCAGGUUUUGCCACCAAAUGUAAGAGUUAAAGAAAGAGGAAAGAAGCACGAAAAGUGGCUCAAUAGUCAAAGACAGGUUUAUUUUGGAGAUAAACCUGAGAGGGGCUUCUGGAUGAUUUCAGUCAGGAACACUGUCUCUUCCAGACUAAGAUUAUUUAAGGGUUCAUGAGAAGAGAGCUUAUCACAGGAUUAGAAUGUUUCUGUGUAGGGGAGAAUUUUAUUGAAGUGUUGGAAUGUCUUGGGUUGUAGGGGAGGUUAUCUUGGGGCUGACAUCUCUCCAGCCAGGGGGAAGGUUAUCUCAGGGCUGGCAUGUCUCUGGUUGGGGAGGGGUUUGGAAUGUUUCUGGUCAGAGAUGUUACUUGUGAUUUAUGGUCAUGCUGACCUUAGCCAUUAGGCUGAUGCCCUUUGGAUUUAGGCAGUUUUUGAUCAAGGUGAACUUAAAAUGGCAGUGCUUGUCCAAGAUGGCGAUACUCCUGCUCUGUCAUGUACUAUUAAUAUUUUGUAUUUCUACCAGCAGUAAAUGAGAGUUUCUCUUGCUCCACGUCCUUAACAGCAUGGUGUUUUUAGUGUUCUGUAUUUUGACCAUUCUAAUAGGUGUUUACUGGUGUCUCAUUGUUGUUUAAAUUUUCAUUUUUUUAUGAUGAAUUGGGUAUCUUUUCAUAUGCCUAUUUUCCAUUUGUGUAUCUUCUUUGGUGAGAUAUCUCUUAUCUCUUUUUCUAGUGAGACUGUGUUUUCUUACUGUUGAGUUUUGAGAGUUCUGUGGAUAUUUUAGUUUAUAGUUCUCUUUAUCAGAUAAUUUUUUUGCAAAUGUUUUCUUCCACUCUGUGGCUUGUCUUUUCAUUUUCUCUUGACACUAUAUUUUACAAAGCAGAAAGUUUUAAUUUUGAUGUAGAUCAUCAUAUCACUUUUUACCUUCACGGAUUGUCCCUUUGGUGUCAUAGCUAAAUGUUCAUCGCCAAAUCCAAGGGCAUCUAGAUUUUCUCCUGUGUUAUCUUCUUGCAGUUUUAUAGUUUCGUAUUGUACAUUUAGGUCUAUAAUCCAUUUUGAACUAGUUUUUUAUCUAGAUUAGUUUUUUGCAUAUGAUGUCCAACUUUUAUAGCAUCACUUGUUAAAGAGAUGAACUUUUCACCACUGUACUGCCUUUGCUUCUUUGUCAAAGACCAGAUGACUAUUUUUAUGUCUAUUUCUGGGCUCUCUAUUGUGUUCUAUUGUUCUAUUUUAUUUUCAGCACAAUGUUGAAAAGGUAUGGUAAGAGGGAGCAUUUCUAACUUGUACUUGAUCUUAGUGGGACAGCUUCUAGUUUUCACCAUUAAGUAUGAUGUUGGCUACAGAUUUUUUGUAGAUCUUUUUUAUCAAGUUGAAGAUCCCUAGUUGACCAUUAUUUUUAAAGAUAAUAGAAAAGGUACAUGGAAAGCAGGUGUGAUAGAGCCCAACUAAAAUUUUCCUUAAAAGAAAUAAUCAUCAUAGAAGAUGACCAGUUAUUUUGUUAAACUAAUAUUAAAGAACAUAUGCUUAAUUAUCACAAAGCCACUGCUUAGCAGCUCUUUGGUGAAAUUUAUGCUGUAAAAGGUCACAUGUCUUUCAAUCUUCUUGUCUGAAAAGUUUGCCUAUUCAUCCAUUAUCCCAUCUUCAAGGAUCAAAACCAAGGGUUCCUCUUCCAAGAAGCUUUUUUUUAUACCCCUCCAAAUAAACAACAUUCUCCUUUAAUAUUUGAGAACAAUUCUUUUUACCUUUCUGCAUAUUACAUUCUGUCUUAUAAUAUAGUUUGCACGAACUAUUGCUUGUAAUCAAAUGUAAUCUCCUCCAAAGUUUGUUUGUACACAGUAGACACUCAAGUGUUUAAUUAAAUUGAAUUAGUAGAUGUCAUUGAAUUUAUUGAUUUAAUAGCUCAUUUGUACAAUGUACUUUUGUAAGCAACUUUUAGAGCAUAAUGCUGUGCUGACAUGACAUGAUAGAGACUACAAAAAAAGUAAGUCAUAAUUCCCAGGUACUGAUAGCAGAGUCCAGAGUUAGAAGUACUCAUUCAUUCAUUAAACAGUUAUUGCUCA
rnacentral:lncRNA from 1 species